GGGCCCGUAGCUCAGCCGGAUAGAGCAGGGGAUUUCUAAUCCCCGGGUCGGGGGUUCGAGUCCCUCCGGGCCCGCCA
rnacentral:tRNA from 1 species